rnacentral:rRNA from 1 species
CUACGUGCCAGCAGCCGCGGUAAUACGGAAGGUCCGGGCGUUAUCCGGAUUUAUUGGGUUUAAAGGGAGCGUAGGCCGCAUGUCAAGCGUGUUGUGAAAUGCAGGUGCUCAACACCUGGAUUGCAGCGCGAACUGUCGUGCUUGAGUGUGCGCAACGUUGGCGGAAUUCGUCGUGUAGCGGUGAAAUGCUUAGAUAUGACGAGGAACCCCGAUUGCGAAGGCAGCUGACGGGAGCAUAACUGACGCUGAAGCUCGAAGGUGCGGGUAUCGAACAGGAUUAGAUACCCUGGUAGUCCGCACGGUAAACGAUGGAUGCCCGCCGUCCGCCCUUUUAUUGGGCGUGUGGCCAAGCGAAAGCAUUAAGCAUCCCACCUGGGGAGUACGCCGGCAACGGUGAAACUCAAAGGAAUUGACGGGGGCCCGCACAAGCGGAGGAACAUGUGGUUUAAUUCGAUGCAACGCGAAGAACCUUACCUACUCUUGACAUCCAUGGAAUUCUGUAGAGAUACGGGAGUGC